rnacentral:rRNA from 1 species
UGCAGUCGACGCGAAGUCCCCUUCGGGGGGCAAGUAGAGUGGCGCACGGGUGAGUAACACGUAGGUAAUCUACCUUUGGAUUGGGAAUAACCACGGGAAACUGUGGCUAAUACCGAAUAAUGCAGCGGCACCUAAUGGUGACAGUUGUUAAAGCGGGGGAUCGCAAGACCUCGCGUCUGAAGAGGAGCCUGCGGCAGAUUAGCUAGUUGGUAAGGUAACGGCUUACCAAGGCUAUGAUCUGUAGCCGGCCUGAGAGGGCGGUCGGCCACACUGACACUGACAUACGGGUCAGACUCCUACGGGAGGCAGCAGUCGGGAAUUUUGGGCAAUGGGCGAAAGCCUGACCCAGCAACGCCGCGUGAAGGAUGAAAUCCCUCGGGAUGUAAACUUCGCAAGAACAGGAAGAAUAAGUAAGAGUUAAUAUCUCUUAUGAUGACGGUACUGUUUGUAGCUCCGGCUAACUCCGUGCCAGCAGCCGCGGUAAUACGGGGGGAGCAAGCGUUGUUCGGAUUUACUGGGCGUAAAGGGCGGGUAGGCGGCCACUGCAAGUCGGUUGUGAAAUCUCCGGGCUUAACCCGGAAAGGUCAAUCGAUACUGCAGGGCUAGAGUGCAGAAAGGGCAACUGGAAUUCUCGGUGUAGCGGUGAAAUGCGUAGAUAUCGAGAGGAACACCUGCGGCGAAAGCGGGUUGCUGGGCUGACACUGACGCUGAACUGCG